UUAACAAAAACAUGUCCUUUUGAUUUUAAUUUAAGGUCUGGUCUGCCCAAUGAUAAUUUUAAUGGCCGCGAUAUUUUGAUCGUGCGAAGGUAGCAUAAUCAUUAGUUUUUUAAUUGGAAGCUGGUAUGAAGGAUUGGACAAGAACCUAACUGUCUCUGUUUUAACUGUUGAAUUUUAUUUUUGAGUUAAAAAGCUUAAAUUUUAUUGUAAGACGAGAAGACCCUAUAGAGUUUAAUAUUAUAAGAUUUUAAUUUAAUUGUGGAGUUUAAAAUUUUUAAAAUUUGUAAUUAUUUGGUUGGGGUGACAGAAAAAUUGAAUUAACUUUUUCUUUUUAGAAUAUUUAUUUAUAGGUUUUUGACUUAAAAAUUUAGUUAAAAGAUUAAAUUACCUUAGGGAUAACAGCGUCAUUUUUCUAAAGAGUUCUUAUCGAAAGAAAAGAUUGCGACCUCGAUGUUGGAUUAAAGUUAAAAUUUGGUGUAGAAGCUAGGUCUUUUAGUCUGUUCGACUAUUAAAACUUUACAUGAUCUGAGUU
rnacentral:rRNA from 1 species